rfam:Acyrthosiphon pisum strain LSR1 Contig3314, whole genome shotgun sequence.
AUUUUAUUUUUAUAUUAAUAUAAGCAAGUUCGAAAGAUAGUGGCUAAUCUCUAUUUCAAGGGUGAUGCCUAUGAUGUUGGUUUUUGCUCCUUGAAAGUAGUAGAAUGACUGAUUAUGAAAUUCUAAUGGUUGUCAUAUCAAUCAGUGGUUUAAUAUUAAUUAGCAACAUUCAAA